GAUGAACGCUGGCGGCGUGCCUAAUACAUGCAAGUCGAGCGAACAGACGAGGAGCUUGCUCCUCUGACGUUAGCGGCGGACGGGUGAGUAACACGUGGAUAACCUACCUAUAAGACUGGGAUAACUUCGGGAAACCGGAGCUAAUACCGGAUAAUAUAUUGAACCGCAUGGUUCAAUAGUGAAAGACGGUUUUGCUGUCACUUAUAGAUGGAUCCGCGCCGCAUUAGCUAGUUGGUAAGGUAACAGCUUACCAAGGCAACGAUGCGUAGCCGACCUGAGAGGGUGAUCGCCCACACUGGAACUGAGACACGGUCCAGACUCCUACGGGAGGCAGCAGUAGGGAAUCUUCCGCAAUGGGCGAAAGCCUGACGGAGCAACGCCGCGUGAGUGAUGAAGGUCUUCGGAUCGUAAAACUCUGUUAUUAGGGAAGAACAAAUGUGUAAGUAACUAUGCACGUCUUGACGGUACCUAAUCAGAAAGCCACGGCUAGCUACGUG
rnacentral:rRNA from 1 species